ensembl:snRNA U4 U4 spliceosomal RNA
AGCUUUGUGCAGUGGCAGUAUCAUAGCCAAUGAGGUUUAUCCGAGGCGCAAUUAUUGCUAAUUGAAAACAAGAACAUUUAUCUAACUAUCUAUCCAGAAACAUGUGCAUACAUGCACACAUA